UACGUAGGGGGCAAGCGUUGUCCGGAAUCAUUGGGCGUAAAGCGCGUGUAGGCGGCCCGAUAAGUCCGCUGUGAAAGUCCAGGGCUCAACCCUGGAAUGCCGGUGGAUACUGUCGGGCUCGAGUCCGGAAGAGGCGAGUGGAAUUCCUGGUGUAGCGGUGAAAUGCGCAGAUAUCGGGAGGAACACCGAUGGCGAAGGCAGCUCGCUGGGACGGUACUGACGCUGAGACGCGAAAGCGUGGGGAGCAAACAGG
rnacentral:rRNA from 1 species